rnacentral:rRNA from 1 species
ACAAAAUAAUCCUUCGGGUGCGUUUUGUAUGACUUAGUGGCGGACGGGUGAGUAACGCGUGGGGAACCUGCCGUAUGCAGGGGGACAACAGUCAGAAAUGACUGCUAAUACCGCAUAAGCACACAAUGCUGCAUGGCAUGGUGUGAAAAGAGUUAUCGGCAUACGAUGGCCCCGCGUCUGAUUAGCCAGUUGGCAGGGUAAUGGCCUACCAAAGCAACGAUCAGUAGCCGGCUUGAGAGAGUGACCGGCCACAUUGGGACUGAGACACGGCCCAGACUCCUACGGGAGGCAGCAGUGGGGAAUAUUGCACAAUGGGGGAAACCCUGAUGCAGCGACGCCGCGUGAGUGAAGAAGUAUUUCGGUAUGUAAAGCUCUAUCAGCAGGGAAGAUAAUGACGGUACCUGACUAAGAAGCUCCGGCUAAAUACGUGCCAGCAGCCGCGGUAAUACGUAUGGAGCAAGCGUUAUCCGGAUUUACUGGGUGUAAAGGGAGCGCAGACGGCAAGGCAAGUCUGAUGUGAAAGUCCGAGGCUCAACCUCGGGACUGCAUUGGAAACUGUCUGGCUAGAGUGCAGGAGAGGUAAGUGGAAUUCCUAGUGUAGCGGUGAAAUGCGUAGAUAUUAGGAGGAACACCAGUGGCGAAGGCGGCUUACUGGACUGUAACUG